CCCUUAGAUGUUCUGGGCCGCACGCGUGCUACACUGAGUGGAUCAGCGGGUCAGGUUGCGCGAAAGUGUUUCCUAAUCUUUAAAUCCGCUCGUGAUGGGGAUUGACGGUUGCAAUUUUCCGUCAUGAACGAGGAAUACCUUGUAAGCGCGGGUCAUCAUCCCGCGCUGAAUACGUCCCUGCCCUUUGUACACACCGCCCGUCGCUCCUACCGAUUGAGUGGUCCGGUGAGGCUUUGGGAUCUGAGCGGAAAGAGCGUUUCGCUGUUUCUGCCCGGAAAACUCAGUCGAACCUUAUCAUUUAGAGGAAGGAGAAGUCGGAACA
rnacentral:rRNA from 1 species